rnacentral:rRNA from 1 species
GUGAGGUAAAGGCUCACCAAGGCGACGAUCCGUAGCUGGUCUGAGAGGAUGAUCAGCCACAUCGGGACUGAGACACGGCCCGAACUCCUACGGGAGGCAGCAGUGGGGAAUAUUGGACAAUGGGGGCAACCCUGAUCCAGCCAUGCCGCGUGUGUGAAGAAGGCCUUCGGGUUGUAAAGCACUUUCAGUGAGGAAGAAGGCCUUGGGCUUAAUACGCUCGAGGAAGGACAUCACUCACAGAAGAAGCACCGGCUAACUCCGUGCCAGCAGCCGCGGUAAUACGGAGGGUGCGAGCGUUAAUCGGAAUUACUGGGCGUAAAGCGCGCGUAGGUGGCGUGAUAAGCCGGUUGUGA